UCGGAUUGGAGGCUGAAACCCGCCUCCAUGAAGUUGGAUUCGCUAGUAAUCGCGCAUCAGCCAUGGCGCGGUGAAUACGUUCCCGGGCCUUGUACACACCGCCCGUCAAGCCAUGGGAGCCGGGGGUGCCUGAAGUUCGUGACCGCAAGGAGCGACCUAGGGCAAAACUGGUGACUGGGGCUAAGUCGUAACAAGGUAGC
rnacentral:rRNA from 1 species